UUUGGAUUUACUAAUCUGCUACACUCCUGAUGUACUUAUUUUACCUUAACUUCAUGUUGUGUAUGCAAAUAUAUUUAUCCCAAUCUAGUAUGUAAUUUUUUUAAAAUUUUUUGUUUACUUCAGCCAUGACUCCUCAUCACAACGAAGAAUAUUCACCAGAAAAGGGCAUAAAACAUAUAUUUCAUAAAGUGAUAAGUGGGAACUAUAGAAUUUUUUAUCUUGACUAUUUACAAGAAAAGAAAAUAUGGAAAACUAUAUGUGAGAGUAAACAUCAGAAAUUAUAUCAAAAAUCAGGCCUUGUUCACCUCCAAAGAAUUUAUACCGGAGAGAAGCCCUACAAACAUAAACAAUGUGGCAAAGCUUUUAGUAAAAAAAAAAGUCUUAUUUACCACAGAAGAACCCAUGCUGGAGAGAUGUCCUACCAAUGGGCAGAAUGUGAUAAAGUUUUUAAAGAAAAAUCAAUCUUUAUUAAGCAAAGCAGAAUUCACACUGAAAAGAAGACCUACAAAUGUAAAGUAUGUGGUAAAGCUUUUACUCAAAUAUCAACCCUUAUUUGCCACAACAGAACUCACACUGGAGAGAAGCCCUACAAAUGUAAAGAAUGUGGAAAAGCUUUUAGUCAAAAAACACACCUUAUUUGCCACAAUAGAACUCACACUGGAGAGAAGCCCUACAAAUGUAAAGAAUGUGGAAAAGCUUUUAGUCGAAAAACACACCUUAUUUGCCACAACAGAACUCACACUGGAGAGAAGCCCUACAAAUGUAAAGAAUGUGGAAAAGCUUUUAAUAAAAAAGCAGGCCUUAUUUGCCACAACAGAACUCAUACUGGAGAGAAGCCCUACAAAUGUAAAGAAUGUGGAAAAGCUUUUAGUCAAAAAGCCAGCCUUAUUUGUCACAAAAGAACUCACACUGAAGAGAAGGCCUACAAAUGUAAAGAGUGUGGCAAAGCUUUUAGUCACAAAACAAGCCUUAUUUGUCACAAAAGAACUCACACUGAAGAGAAGGCCUACAAAUGCAAAGUAUGUGACAAAGUUUUUACUCAAAUAUCACACCUUAUUUGCCACAGCAGAACUCACACGGGAGAGAAGCCCUACAAAUGUAAUGAAUGUGGCAAAGCUUUUACUCAAAAAACACACCUUAUUCACCACCAGAGAACUCACACUGGAGAGAAGCCCUACAAAUGUAAAGAAUGUGGAAAAGCUUUUAGUCAAAAAACAGGCCUUAUUCGCCACAGGAGAACUCACACUGGAGAGAAGCCCUACAAAUGUAAAGAAUGUGGAAAAAGCUUUUAGCCAAAAAGCAGGCCUUAUUUGCCACAAUAGAAGUCACACUGGAGAGAAGCCCUACAAAUGUAAAAAGUGUGGCAAAGCUUUUAAUAAAAAAUCUGGCCUUAUUUGCCACAACAGAACUCACACUAGAGAGAAGGCCUACAAAUGUAAAGAAUGUGGCAAAGCCUUUAGUCAAAAAACAAGCCUUCCUUGCUACAGAAGAACUCACACUGGAGAGUAGCCCUCCAAAUGUAAAUAAUGUGGCUAAGCUUUUAAUCAAAAAUAAAACUUUAUUUACCACAACAGAAGAUGCUCUGGUGAGAAACCUUAAAAAUAUGAAGAAAGUGAUAAUGCUUUUAAAGAAAAAGCAAACCUUAUUAACCACAAAAUUUAUACAGAAAAGAACCCCUACAAAUGGAAACAAUGUAGCAAAGCUUUUAAUAAGAAAUCAAAACUUUUUCACCACUACCAGGCUAUUUAUUCUGCAAAGAAGACUACAAAUGUAGAGAAUGUAGAAACAUUUUUAAUUAUAUAUCACACAUUACUAGACAUUCAAGAAAACACACUGGAGAGAAGCUAUACAAAUAAGACCUUUGUACCAUUUCUUUAAGGAUGGGUCAACAUUUAAUCCUCUCCACAAUCAUCACAGCAGAGAGAAAUUUUUGAAAUUUGAAAAUUGACAAUGUGACAAUGCCUCCAUAAAUGAUUCACCAAUACUCAGCACCUGAGGAUACAUACUGGUUAGAGAGAAUACAAAUGGGAAAAAAAAAUGUUUCAAAGCCACAGGUUUCUUAAACACUACUGAUAUUUGGAGACUUCAUUGUGCCCAGAAAUCCUAAAAAGUUAAAUAAUAUUUCCAAAACUUAUUCAAAUUUUCAAUUCAUUGAACAUUUUAAAACUCAUACCAGUAGUGAACAUUGAACAUAUUUUGUCCAAAAUGAAUGCCUUAUAUAACAAUAAAAUAUUUACAAUAAACACCUUGACAAAUGUGAGAGUAUAGUAAAGUCAUUACCUAUACAUUACACCUUGAUGUAUAUGAGGAUCAGUGAAAUACAGAACUAAUUUAAAUAUAGAAAAUGAGUAGUUAUCUUUAACUUUUACUUAUAAUCCCAGCAGCUUGGGGGCCGGGUGCAAAAGAACUUUUAGUUCAAAACCAGCCUGAGCAACUUAAUAAGGCCCUAAGCAACUUAGUGAGACCAUGUCUCUAAAUAAAAUAUAAAAAUGGUCUGGGAAUAUGGCUUAGUGAUUAAGCACCCCUGCAUUCAAUCCCAGGUACCAAAAAAAAAAAAAAAAAAAAAAACGGGGAGGGGGGAAGGGCAGUGAAGAAAGCCAAAGUAAAAGUUUAAAAAAAGCAAGUAAACAAACAAAAAACUUACAUGUUUACAACAUCUAAGAAAUUUAGAAAAAUUCAGCAAUACAGACAGCAAACUCCAUAUUGAUUUAUCGAGUAUACUUUGAAAUAAAAUGGACCUAUUUACCAGUGUGGGUUUAACUGACUACAAAAUUGGUAAUUUAGGAGAAGUCACUUAACUUCUCUGAAUAUAAAUUGUUUAUAUAAUGAGAAAAAUAAUACCCUGAAUAAUGUUUAGUAUCUUUAAAUUAAUCCCUAACAUACCAUAAGAUCCUAAGUUUACUUGUAAUAAGACCAUUCAUGUUAAUUAUAAAGUUUUGCCAAAUUUGGA
rnacentral:lncRNA from 1 species